GACGAACGCUGGCGGCGUGCUUAACACAUGCAAGUCGAACGGAAAGGCCCUGCUUUCGUGGGGCGCUCGAGUGGCGCACGGGUGAGUAACACGUGAGUAACCUGCCCUUGACUUUGGUAUAACUUCAGGAAACUGGGGCUAACACCGGAUAGGCGCUCCUGCUGCGUGGUGGGGGUUGGAAAGUUUCGGUGGGUGGGGAUGGACGCGCGGCUUAUCAGCUUGUUGGUGGGGUUGUGCCUUACCAAGGCUUUGAGGGGUAGCCGGCCGGAGAGGGUGACCGGCCUCAGUGGGACUGUGCUGCGGCGCAGACUACUAGGGGCGGCAGCGGGGGGGAUUAUUGCACGAGGGGCGGAAGCCUGAUGCAACGACGCGGGGUGCGUGAUGACGGCCUUCGGGUUGUAAACCGCUUUCGCCUGUGACGAAGCGUGAGUGACGGUAAUGGGUGAAGAAGCACCGGCUAACUACGUG
rnacentral:rRNA from 1 species